GUGUCAGCCGCCGCGGUAAUACAGAGACUGCAAGCGUUAUUCGGAUUCACUGGGCGUAAAGGGUGCGCAGGCGGCCAUGUGUGUUAGAUGUGAAAGCCCGGGGCUUAACCCCGGAAUUGCGCCUAAAACUACAUGGCUAGAGUAUUGGAGAGGGUAGCGGAAUUCAUGGUGUAGCAGUGAAAUGCGUAGAUAUCAUGAGGAACACCAGAGGCGAAGGCGGCUACCUGGACAAUUACUGACGCUCAGGCACGAAAGCGUGGGGAGCAAAAGGGAUUAGAUACCCCUGUAGUCCACGCCCUAAACGGUGCACACUAGGUCUUGGCGGAUUCGAUCCCGUCAGGGCCCAAGCUAACGCGUUAAGUGUGCCGCCUGAGGACUACGGUCGCAAGACUAAA
rnacentral:rRNA from 1 species